AUUGAACGCUGGCGGCAGGCCUAACACAUGCAAGUCGAGCGAGCGGCGGACGGGUGAGUAAUGUAUGGGGACUGCCCGAUAGAGGGGGAUAACUACUGGAAACGGUGGCUAAUACCGCAUCCUGUCGGAUAACCCAUAAGGGAUUAGCUAGUAGGUCAGGUAAUGGCUGACCUAGGCGACGAUCCCUAGCUGGUCUGAGAGGAUGAUCAGCAAAACGGGGACUGAGAAACGGCCCAGACUCCUACGGAGGCAGCAGUGGGGAAUCGUCCGAAAUGGACGAAAGUCGGACGGAGCAACGCCGCGUGAGUGAGGACGGCCUUCGGGUUGUAAAGCUCUGUUAAUCGGGAGACGGUACCGGAAUAGAAAGCCACGGCUAACUACGUGCCAGCAGCCGCGGUAAUUC
rnacentral:rRNA from 1 species